UGGGGAAUUUUGGACAAUGGGCGCAAGCCUGAUCCAGCCAUUCCGCGUGCAGGAUGAAGGCCCUCGGGUUGUAAACUGCUUUUGUACGGAACGAAAAGCCUUUUUCUAAUACAAGAAGGUCAUGACGGUACCGUAAGAAUAAGCACCGGCUAACUACGUGCCAGCAGCCGCGGUAAUACGUAGGGUGCAAGCGUUAAUCGGAAUUACUGGGCGUAAAGCGUGCGCAGGCGGUAAUGCAAGACAGAUGUGAAAUCCCCGGGCUCAACCUGGGAACUGCAUUUGUGACUGCAUUGCUGGAGUGCGGCAGAGGGGGAUGGAAUUCCGCGUGUAGCAGUGAAAUGCGUAGAUAUGCGGAGGAACACCGAUGGCGAAGGCAAUCCCCUGGGCCUGCACUGACGCUCAUGCACGAAAGCGUGGGGAGCAAACA
rnacentral:rRNA from 1 species